ACAUCAUAAUGAAGGCAACACUGAUCUGCUUCGUACUUCUUUUGGGAAUCAACCUUGCGUUCGCCACCUUUUUAGGGGCACAUAACGCAAAGCGACGCCGUCCAUAUGCCGCAAACAUGAGAGCAAUGGUGUGGAAUAGGGAGUUAGCAAAUAUGGCAAGAAACUGGGCAAGUAGAUGCAUCAAAGGCCACAAUCCGAACAGAAGUUCAAACAGGUUUUCCUACGUCGGCGAAAACAUUUUUUG